GGGUGAGAUGCCUCAGAACUGGUCCUGCUGGGCUUUCAAGGGCUGUGGAAGGAAAUCCUUUGGGAAGCAAUAGAAUGCAGUGACCUACUGUGUCCUUCAUACACUAAGGACAGCCUACUUCCUGGCAGGAUCACCGUACUCCAGAAGAAAUAGGAUGUUAAAGGGGAGAAAAAGCAGCAAACAGGACAAUUUCAUCAGUCCUCAGUGAGCUCCCCAUCAAAAAGGC
rnacentral:lncRNA from 1 species